GCCGCAAUCUGAAAGAGUGCUAGAAACAGAAUGUGCGAGCUAGUAUGACGUUUAGAGCAAAAAGUCAUCAAUGCCAAGGCUUGUACCCACGCAAAUGACAACAGAUGUCUGAGGUACCGGUUUGUGAUCUGCACUAAUUAUUAUAAUUACGUAAUAAUUCUAGAGCUACAUAAACGGCUGUACACAAGGUAUUUAAAUUGUUGAUAAUAAACUCGUUCCGACUUGCGAAAUGUACGUGUAUAUAUAGGCAUUAUACAUAUAAGAAAUCGGAAGAGCUCA